AACUAAUGUUCAAUCUAUUUAAUUAGCUUAAUCGUUAAAUUUAAGGGAGCCUCUAAGUUACAUUUAAUGUAACUUACACAACUUAUGUGAACCACAUAAAUUAUGGAUCCCACAAUUUUGUGUGAUUCACAUUAGUUGUGUAAGUUAAUUGUAACUUAGCAUUUGGCUAAAUUUAAAGUUGAAGUUGUGUGUGAAGUUCACUCAACUUUUAUCACCUUUAUUUCGAAUGGCGCCUCCGACAAACACCAAUGGUAGGCUCAAUCAGAGAUGGACAGUCCAGGGCAUGACUGCGCUUGUAACUGGUGGAACCAAAGGACUAGGGUUCUUAAUCUCUCUAGCUAGCUCUUAUAUGCAUUCCUUUCCUGUUAAUAUUGCCUGCAUGUGCUCAUAUUUUUGUUUCUGUUGUUGGUGCAUUGACUAGUCAUGCUGUAGUGGAGGAACUGGCUGAGCUUGGUGCUACUGUGCAUACAUGCUCUAGGAAUGAAUGAAGUAGAUCUUAGUGAAUGCAUACGUGACUGGAAAAGCAAAGGCUUCAAAGUCACCGGUUCAGUGUGCGAUGUAUCAUCUCGAAUUGAACGGGAAAAGCUUAUAAACCAAGUCUCCUCUCUGUUUGAUGGAAAACUUAACAUUCUCGUAUGAUUCAUAUAUGGUGUUAAUUAUAUUGCAUAUUAAUUAAUUGUUGUUAUAAUUAAUCCCGUGGUGCAGUGAGUUCUAAUUUGCUUUACUAGCUAACUACUUAAUUAACACAAUCCAUAUCACUUAUCACUAUGUCUAUGUAUGUAUGCGAUGUGACUCUCUCUAGAUAAACAACGUCGGGACGACUAUAAGAAAGGCAACUGUGGAGUUCACAGCAGAAGAUUUCUCGUUUCUCAUGGCUACCAAUUUUGAGUCUGCUUACAAUCUGUGCCAACUUGCACAUCCUCUUUUGAAAGCUUCGGGGGCAGCAAGUAUUGUUCUAAUGUCUUCUGUUUGUGGGGUGGUGUCAGUUGUUGACGUUGGAUCCAUAUCUGGAGCUACGAAAGGUGACCCUUGACAACAAUUUUCAACAUCAUGUCAUGAGCUCUAGUCGUGUCUUUGAACCCCGUGACUGGGAGGCUCUAUGGCAUUACGACUUGUCUUUAAACAUUAAACUUGAACUUUCUCUCACCCCAACUAGUUAUAUGUUAAUCACAGGAGCCAUGAACCAUCUUGCGAGGAUUUUGGCAUGCGAGUGGGCUCAAGACAAUAUUAGGACCAAUUCUGUCACACCUUGGUUCGUCGCGACUCCUUUAACUGAAUCUGUAAGAACUAUUUUAUUCACUCUGAUUCUCAAUGUUAUAUAUAUGUAUGCAGUUUCUCUAUAUGAGAAAUUAUUUUUAUCAAUUAGAAAAAUGACAUGAUUUAAUGCUCAUUUCAUUUCUGGUGGUAAAUAAAUAUAUAUGGUCACAGAAGAAGCAUACUAGUUGAAGAAUAAAUGGUAACCUUCUAAAUUUUAACCAAAAAAAUUAAUUAGUUUGUAGAGAUCUUGGAUAAUUAAUAAUUUUUAUAUAAAAAAGGGUCAUGGUCAUAUUUAAUUUUUAAUAGUGAGUAUUUUUUUAUUUUUUUUUAUGCACGCCAAGAAUAAAAUGGGGUGUUAAAAAUUUAUGAGAAACGUCCUAAUUAGUUAAAAAAAAUUAAUAAGAAAAAUGAAAGUUUUCGUGCGAGAUGAUCGAUGUGAUAUUAUCUUGCACGCAGGGAAAGCAUACACUUGCAUAAAAAAUUUUCUUCUACGUAUAAUUAUUACACUGGUCAUGAUAACUUCUAACCCUGCCCGUGAUCUCCAUUGCCUGCCACUGUGUCGGUGCUCCGUAAUCGGUAAGAUUUUGGAACGUAGCAAAUCAAUUAAUGAUGCAUGGUUGUUACUUACAUAUAGGAUCGACGGCGGAAUUUUGUUCGUUCACAAAAUUAUGUAAGAUGAACGGCUACGGUUAGGUUGCAUAUUCGAAACGGGGGUGCAUGAAUGGGUCCACAGAAGAAAUAAUUGUACAUACUACGGAUAAGUUUCUAGGCCCUAGGUGUCGGUGCUUCGUAUUCGGUAAGAUUUUGGAACGUAGCAAAUCAAAUAAUAAUGCAUGGUUGGUAGACAAUUUAUUGAAGGGAGGGCCUAAGUUACUUAGCGCCAUCCGUUAUUAAAACAGCUCAAUAUUGCCCCAAAUUUAUUGUCACUCAUCAGUGUGCCCCCAGCAGGCAGCAGUUACUGUAAACCUUUGUUUGGUGUAGACAAUUUUUCCUUUUUUUUUAUCAAUUUAGCCAUUUAGGCACCUUAACAUACCUAGUAUCACGAACAAAUUGCUCUCCCUAAAUAUAAUAUUCUCUUAUAAUUUAUUAAUUAAUUAAAUUAAUAAAUUUAAAUACAUAUAUUUUUCUUCCCCUUCAUCAUAAAAAAAAACUUAAUUGACAAAAAAAAGAGUAGCAAAUUUUUAUAAAUUUAAAAAUACAUAUUCUUCUUCCCUUUCAUCACCAAAAAGAAAAUUUAAAGGAAAAGAAUAAGAGUAGCAAAUUUGUUACCCCUAUUAUCCGAGUAGAAAUUUUAAUAGAAUCUUUCCCUAACAACAAGCAUCACCUCAAAUACAAAUUUAAUAAUAUUACAACCAUGUAAUUAUUAUAACAUAAAAUUAUCAUAUAAAACAACCAUUUAAUAAAAUCAUCAUCAUAUUCCAAAAUCAUCAAAAUCAUCACCAUAAUCAAAACAAUACUCAAAGUGCAUAUUAUUCUUCUCCUUUUAACAACAUCGAAAUGAUAUAUUACUUUGUCUCCUCCUUUAGACAAAAAAAAUUCAAAAUGCAUAUUAUUCAAAAUCAUAUUAUAUGCUCCCCUAAAUAUAUGGUCAAUUUAAAAAUUUAACCAAAAUAAUUUAAUCCAAAAACAUAUCAUAUUUAUCUCCCCCUUCAUUAUAAAAAAGAAAAGAUAGAUAAAUGGAAUCCAAACAAGAUCAUAAAAAAAAAUAAUUCAAUGAAGAUAUUACCCAUUUUGUGCGAACAAAAAAUUUCGGCAGAGUCUCUCCUUAAAAAUGAACAAAUCCUCAAAUACACAAUAUGGUUAAAAACACUUCUACAUAGGUUUAAACAAUUAUAACAAACCAACAACUCCAUCAAUUCAUCAAGCAACACACAUAUAAUCAUCAAUCAUCAAAAUCAUCAAGAAAUUCAUUUUAAUAAUAUUAAUAACAUGAUUAGAGAUAUUAAUAAAUUUCAUCAUCCUAAGUUCAUGCAGAAUUUUUGAAAAUUAUUUUUCGCAAAGAGGUUUUGAUUUGUUUACCAAAUUGGCAUGCAAAAGUUAUAAGAACGUAUUAUCAACUAUCCAAGCUCCAUAAUUACUAAUCACAUUUUUAAAAUCAAGACAACUAAACUUAUCAAACAUCUAAUGUGACAUUUCAAUAUAACUUAAAAAAUCUUAUAUCCUUAAAAUUCUCUAAGUAUGUGUAAUUUUUUUUUUUCGAUAUCAUUUACAACAAGUAAUGCAUAAUCAACAAUACAUCGAUAAAGUACAAAAAAUGCAUCCGUUCACCAAUCAUAGAUUGUAUAAGAUCAAACUUCAUCAAAUACAAUGUAAUCACCAAAGCACAUUUUUUAUCAUCAAAACUUAAGUAAAGCAUAAGUACAUAAUAGCAAUAUAUAGAUCAUCAAAAUCAACAUAACUAUUAAGAUCAGUCAUCAUAUAUAUUUAUCCAUGCAUCAUGAUUGCAUACAAUAAUAAUUUAAUUAUGUAAACGUACGGGCAUGCUUUUGUAAAUUCAAACUAUUAUCCAUCCAUCAUAAUUUAUUCAACAAAAUCAAUAUGGCAAGAAUUGUUACUAAAACAAUUAAAUCAACUUCCUCAUCUUUUUCUCUUAGAUCAUAAUCAAGUGAUUAUCCUCACAAGUUUUCAUCAAGGAACUCUCCACUAUUUCUUGAUUAUAGUACCUACAAAAAAAAAAAAAAAUUCAAGUUGUGUCUUUUGGUAUCCAAAUACUCCUGGGUCCUUGAAUGUUAGUAAUGAUUCCUUUUGGAACCCAAACACAUUUUACAUCAUAAUAUGUAUUUCUUUUCACUGGACAUCUAUUUUUUAUGUGACCAUCUUGAUUACAAUAAUAAUAUACAACUUAAUUGUUAAUGGAGGUACUCUUCAUAAAGUAAUUCUUAUUAUACUUUUGUUUCAAAUUUAACUUAUAGCUAAUACCUCCUUUGUCAAACACACAUUUUUGUGAAUUAAGUAAGUUAUCCAACAUCUUUUGCCCGUUUGUAAAUUUUAACACAAUUUCAUUGAGCUCGUUACUCUUUUUCUUAAGCACUUCAUUUUUUUUUAAUCAAAUCAUUAACAUGUGAUCUUUCAUGUUCAUACAAAAUGCUUUGUUUGCCUUUUAACGAAAUAGUUUUAUCAUGCAACAUUUUAUUAUUUAACUCUAAUUCUUUGAUAUUUUCAUUUAAUGAAACAUUGCAUUUUUGCAGGGCAUCUUUUUCUUUUUUUAAGUCAUCUACAUGUGAUUCUAGAUACUUGUGCGAAGUAUUAGGUUUCUCAUUUGAUAAUGCAACUUUAUCAUGCAAUGUUUUAUUCUCUAAUUCUAAGCAUGUAAUCUUUGCACUUAGAAAUUCAUUUUUAUUUGUGAGCUCUACAAUUUUUCUUUUAAGACAUGUAUUCUUUUUACCAAUUUUCAUCCACUCAUCAUGCAAUUCCUUAAAAGUAUCAUGUAAUUCAUCAUAUGUAGGAAAAUCACUUAUCUCAUCAAGUUCAUCAUCCGAUUCAUCUCCAAUUGCCAUAAGUGCCAAAUUUGACACUGCAUGAGAUUCCUCUUUAUUUGUAGUCUCCUCAUAUACAACUUCAAGUUUUCUCUAAAUUUUAUAAGCAUUAUAACAAUAUGAAACUCUAUGAAAUUCCUUUUUAUUUAAGACACAAAAUAAAGCAUUCACAUAACCUUGGAAUUCAAAGACAUUUUGGUCCUAUCUGACCCACUUAAAGCAUUCUUCAUAGGAAUGAAUGAACCAUCACAAACUAUUUCCCAUAUUUCAUAGUCUAAGGCUUGUAAAAAUACUUUCAUCCUUGUUUUCCAAUAAGGAUAGUCAUUACCAUAAAAAAAUAGAGGUCUAGUGGUGGAUUGGUCUUCCAUGAAGGUUGAGCUAAUUUGAGUUGCUAUUGAUCUUUAACUCUAGACGGUUAAGUCUACAAAAGAGCACCUUACUUUGAUACCAAAUAAAAUACUAACUAGGCAACCCAAGAGGGGGGUGAAUUGGGUUUUUAAAACUUAAGCUAAACAAAUUGCACAAUAAUUUAAUCUAUUGCCUUAAUCAAAUAAAAAACAAUAAAUUCAAUAAAGCUCAAUAAUAAAAGAGUAAGGGAAGAGAAAACAAACACAAGGAUUUUUACGUGGUUCGGCAAUCUCUGCCUACGUCCACGCCUCCAAGCACACCGGACUUGAGGAUUUCACUAUUCAAGCUUCCCAAGGCUUUAAAUGCUUACAAUUGACUUCCAAGGUGUUAAUGAACCUUUACAACAAGAGAUUAUCUCCCAAAUCUCUUUAUCCCAAGUGUUUCUUACACUUGUACACUCACAAUUUGAUAAGAAAUGAAAAUUAUAAUAAACAACUCUAUUUUAGAGUAGAUAUAUAAAUUAUAGCACAAUAAUAAUUCAAGAUAUGAUAAUUAACGAAAAUGGAAGCUCAAUAUAUGUUGUGUGCUUUUUGUUUUUGCUUGCUAGAGUUCUUGAAAAUGAAUUGGAUUUGAAUUUAUAUAGUUUGAGCCCAAAAACUAGCCGUUAUGUGUUUUCUAAUGAUAACCGGCUUGCCGUUUUCGAAAUCCGGUUAGCCGCUUUUAUGUUACUGUUACAUCAAAUAUUUGAAUUUUAGAACAUCAGGUAUUCUUUCAAAAUCCGGAUAGCCGCUUUCAUUCCAGUAAGCUACUGCCCAAAAUUCGGUCUGCCGCUUAUCAAAUCUGGUUAGCCACUUGCUACAGUAAAUUAUUUUCUAAAAUUAUAGUUUUAACUCAAAACUUUAUAGAAUUACGAUAUGGCCCAAAACGUCAUAAAACUUUACACAGAGUCAAAUUUCAGAAUUUCUAAAUAAUACUUAUUAUUCCCAAAACUUUUUAAAAUUAUAAUAUGGCCCAAAAUGCUAUGAAACGUUUCCAAUAAGUCAUUCUCCAAAAUUUCAAGUAAUACUUGUUGAUUUUAAAGUUUUCAAAACUCUUUCAAUUAAACCAUAAACUUGAAAAACAACUAAUUUCAUAAAAUUAUUUUUCCAUUAAAUAUAAAACUUUUAUAAUGUGAAAAUAAUGAUUUAUUUAAAAUGUAUAAAAACUAAUUUGAGCUUACAAGAUUAAUAAUUCUUAAUCUUGUUUUGUUAUCAUCAAAAUCAACAUUAUGGAAACAUAUAUGUUAACAGAUGAUUUCCCCUUUAAUCCUUGUGUAAUCCAGAUUGAAUCAACAGAUCAAUGACUUAAAUUUGCCACAAGCCAAAGUUAAUUUUCCCAUCAAAUUUUUCUAUUUCAAAUUUCACAAGACUUGAAAAUCCUGACAUAUUUGUUUUGCAGAUCAGCCUUUACUCUUCACCACAAACUAUUUGGAUUGGCUCUCACUGCUUCAAAUGAACAGUACCGUAUACGUAAACAAUAUCGUAUACUUGAACAAUGUCAUCUACAUGAACAGUGCCCUGACACCAAAACUUCAAUCAAUGGCUCUGACACCACUGUUAGAAAAUUGAGUUUCCUCCCAAGAUCACUCCAAGCAAUUUAUCAAAUAACAAAUCAAUAGAAAAAUUAAAUGAAAAAUACACCAAUCUCACAACACAAGAUUUAUGUAGAAAACUCUAAAUCUGAAGAAAAAUCAUGGUUGCUGUAAAAAAAACAACCAGAGAAAAAUAUUUACUAUGUGAAAAUUAUUACAACCACACUCUCAGAAAUAAUUUUCUCUCACCCUAGCCCCAAAUAGACCCAGAACUUUUAAUUUAAGAGUAAUUAUAUUCAACUCUCAAAUUCUCUCUAAAUACAAGAGGAAGCAAAUAUUUAGAAUGAUAAAACUUAUGAAAUAUUCUCUUAUUUAUAACCAAACGGAUAGCACUGUUUAAAUCGCGUUACUAUUCAAACCGCGUUACUGUUCAUACCGCAUCUUUGUUCAUGCCGCGUCACUGUUCAAACCACGCGACUUUUUAAACCACGUGGUCAAACCGUAUUAUUGUUUACGGUGCUACUUUUUUUUUUUUAAAAUCAAUUUUCAACAAAUGAAAGAUUCGUGCGAGCCCAUUAUAAAAGGAUGAACUAAUGUCCAAUCUAUUUAAUUAGCUUACUGUGUGAAGUUCACUUAACUUUUACCACCUUUAUUUCGAAUGGCGCCUCCGACGAACGGCAAUGGCAGGCUCAAUCAGAGAUGGACUGUCCAGGGCAUGACUGCGCUUGUAACUGGUGGAACCAAAGGACUAGGGUUCUUAAUCGAUUCUUAUCUCUCUAGCUAGCUCUUAUAUGCAUUCUUUUCCUAUUAAUAGUGCCUGCAUGUGCUCAUAUUUUUGUUUCUGUUAUUGGUGCGUUGACUAGUCAU
rnacentral:lncRNA from 1 species